rnacentral:lncRNA from 1 species
CAGAUUCCAAAAACUCACUCUGAACUUGGAGACCAGAAUCCUACCUGCUGGAGCAAAUUGCAUCUCGAGUUUUGAGAAUCAGCACCCUUAUUAAGCAGAGAAUGACUGAAAGAUCAUUGAGGAUCACAUAUCAAAGGCACUUUAUUUGAAAUUUUCAAAGAAUCAACAGAAAAUAUUUUUAUCUACUUUAAAUGAAUGACAGAAAAGAACACAGAGACCCAUGAAUUCAAUGAAAAAGACAUAUUAUUCAUGAAUAAUGAACGACUGCUGUAGCCCAGAGAAAUGAUGCUCUAACUCCAAUGGAUGAUAUUUUUUAAAGACCCAAAUCAUACUUCUAAAGAUGAAAAAUAUAAUCACUAAGGUGAAAAAACAGUGGAUGAGAUGAAUGGCAAAUUAGACAUUGCAGAAGGAAAGAUCAGUGAACUUGAAGACAGCGAUAUAUAUUAUCCAAAAUAAAACAGAGAACAAAAUAAUUUUCAAAAACAGUUAUCAGUGAGCUGUGUGACAGCAUCAGACAGCCUAAUAUAUGUGCAAAUGGAAAGAGGGAGCAAGGGGUACAGAAAAAUAGUAAUUGUUCAGAUUUUUAUGAAACAUACAAAUUCAGCUGGGCGCGGUGGCACAUGCCUGUAAUCCCAGCACUUUGGGAGGCCAAGGCGGGCGGAUCAUGAGGUCAGGAGUUCAAG